GGCUGAUGGAGGAGUCUGGAGCAUCCUGCUGGACCACCGUCUCUUAGGCACUAUCUACAAUCUCCACUGAGCACUCAUACAAAAACAUCAACUUUAGUUUGUAAAAGAUACUGAGAUUGUCUGAAAAUAACUUAUAGCGUCUUUGUAAAAUCUUCCAGAAAAUAAAAGAAAGUAAGGUUCUCGAAACAAUUGUAAGAAAAUAUUCAUUUUAAUAUAUAUUUCCUGUUAGUAUUUAUGAGAGCAAUUAAUAUCUUUCAUUCAUAAUAUUAUCAUCAUCCCAAAUUACACCAAGAUAUAACGUCAUCACAUAUAUGUUUUACUUAAUCAUAAAUCACUGACAUAUGUUAAUCAUAUAUGCCAUGAAAGUAUGAACUUGUAUCUAUGCAUGCAUGCAUCUCCGGUUCUCUUUCUUUUGCUAUUGUGAACAGUUCACUGUAUAAUGCCCGUGUUUCCACAUGUCCUCAAAGGAUCCAUGUGUGUCUGGCCAGCUCCGUCUAUGUCCGACUAUGGAAAUCGGCUCCGUCUAUGUCCGACAUAAGUCGGCCCCGUCUAUGGCUGACAUAUAGUCUGCUCCGUAAUUACCCGUUGGUUCCAUAUAUAAAGGUGGCCAUUACACAAGUGACUGUCACUUUGACUUUUUAAGUUAUCACUGUCCAAUGAAUGUAAGAUGUGCAUAUGAUCUGUUCUAUAUGCAGACUCUAUGCCAAUGCACCAUUUGUGAAAUCACAGGUCAAUACACAUUUCAUAUAUACCUGUACUUCGAUAUAUCAUGACAUUACAUUGACAUCAAGGAACUUCAGUCAUGUAUAGAAUCACAUAGUCACAUUAGUAUUCUAAUAUAUCACUUUCAGCAUAUAGGAGCACGUAAUCACAUAUCACACAGAUAUAAGUAGUGUUGAUGUAUACUCACCUUACUUCAGCAACUCAAUCACAACUUCCUGUCCUUAAGGUCCUUCUGCACUUUUCUGUGCACCUAUAUAGGACACAAUUAACCAUUAAGAUCCUUUAUAACUUUAUAUCAUAGUGUGUGUACAUGUUACCUACCCUUAAAGUCCUCUCUAAUUACUCUUAUUGUUAAUCCUUUCAUUUAAAAGAGAUUUGACACUAACUGUUUCUUGUCUCACCUAUUGUUAAUAUAUAUACCUUUAGGUUCCGACAUUUUUCACUAAUAAACCAUUCGAGUUUUUCUUAUGAACCCAACUCGUAUACCUCCCAAUUUGUCCCGGGUAUUUACUCAAAUUAUUCCAUGAUUUAUAUCAUCUUUGAACUCGUCAAAUUGUAACCUCGAAGUUCAUUUCUUACGGGAACUAGGAUUCUGCGCGUCCUGUACUAAAAUGGCCAUAACUUCUAAACCGUAAAUCCGUUUUGCAUGAUUCAAGCGCUCACGCGAUCUACUAACCAAACUCUAUCCAGCCAUAUAAAAAAACCCUCUUAAAUUCGAAACUAAACUGUUCCGAUGAACAGUAACAGCGGCUGUUAUAUUAACUCGGGCAUGGUAACAGCUAUAAUCUUAACAUUUCCAUGAUUAAACUCAUAUUAAUCAUCAACCCAAACAAUUAUAUAACCUUCAAAUCAUCAUAUCAUACUCAUAUCAGAUCAUCCUUUCAAACCCAAUCAAGAACAACAACUUUACAAGCUUAAACAAUAAUCCAAACAUGUAAACAUGCUUAUUAUAACACCAUAACCUCCUAGUAAUUAUCUUAAGAUUUAUUGAAAUUCUUCCACCAAGAACAUCACUAUUCAUAGCUAUAAUCAACCCUCUUUUUGAACACGUUAAUGAUUACGAAUUUAAGAAACAUACCUCUUGAAUUAAAGGUCUUGAAGAGAUCUUUCCAACAAGCUAUAGAACACGAAAGACCGAGCUAGAAAUCUUUUUCUAUGAAUUUUUCUUGAUUUUUUUCUUAUUUUCUUUCUUCCUUCACUUCGGCAGCAGAUGAAACUGAAGUCUGUAUACUUUGCUUUCAUUUUGGUUUCCUAUUAACUUGAUCAACCAAUCAGAGUGUGCCACCCUGCAAGAAUAUUCCUUUGAAUAUGCUUUUUGGAUAAUUAUCUAUUCCAUGUCCUUAAAUUCUUGAAAUCUUAAAUUAAAUCUCACUAUUCUUGAUCUCGUUGACGAAUUCCGACGAUAUAAUAAUUCCUAGUAUAUUAUUUGGGAAUUUUUGACUGUAAAAUGAGCUCAUUUGGAGUCCGGAAAUUUUUCACUUUUUCUUAGGGAUGUAUCGGUCUGAUAUUUUUCCACUGAUCCCUGUCCACUCUUAAUCUCGAGAUUUUUCUUCAAACUCAAUAUAGGAAUGUUCUAGAGACUCCAAAGAUCAUAAACGUACUAACCUUCUCUUCAGUAUUCCUUCUGAAAUUCCGCUGGUUUAGUUUAAAGGUCAUUUUGCAGUCCGGAAAUCUUGGGUAUCCGGCUCCUUUAUUCCUUUUCAUUUUAACUUCCUUGAGCUUCGUAAAAUUUCCGAAAAUUCAUAAAUGAGUUCCACAAUUUAUUUAGAUACUCUAGGAAAAUUCUUGGCUCAUUUUGUGUCUUUUCUAUUUUCACCUAUUUUCUAAUAACUGGAUUUUAUAAUCACAGUUCGGUGCAAAAUCAUACAAUUCUGACCGUACUUUUGUUCACUAUUUCUCCGCUCUGGUAAUUUAUAAAAUAUCUAAAAAUUAUUCUGAGACUUUUAUUUUUACCCCUUCAUGUCCUUUCUCCUUUAUAGGGUCACCUUACUAUUCGCAAAUUCCUUAUAAAUCCUAAAACAAAAUAUUUUUGUUAAAUCUAAAAAUCCCGAAAACUAUUUUAAUACAUUCAAAAGUAUUAUAUAAGCAUUUGUUUGGGACCAGGGUGUGACAACUCUUCCCCCCUUAAAGAAUUUUGUCCUCAAAAUUCAAAAAUAUACCUGGAUUGUCGAAUAGGUGAGGGUACUUGCUUCUCAUAUGCUCCUCUGUCUCCCAUGUGGCUUCUUCCACUGCGUGGUUUCUCCAUAGUACUUUGACUAGCGGUAUUUCUCUAUUCCUCAGUUGUUUGGUCUUGUGCCCUAUUAUCUUGACAGGUUCUUCAAUGUAACUCAAAUUGUCAUUGAUUUCUAUCCCGGGGUCCUUCAAAACGUGUGUAGGAUCUGACCUAUAUCUUCGUAACAUGCUUACAUGAAAUACAUCAUGGAUUUGAGAAAGUUCUGGGGGCAAUGCUAAUCUAUAGGCAAGUGGUCCUAUCUUCUCAAUUAUUUCAUAUGGUCCAAUAUACCUAGGACUCAACUUCCCUUUAUUGCUGAAUCUCAUCACCCCUUUCCAUGGCGAUACUUUCAGAAAUACUUUAUCACCUACUUGAUAUUCCAUCUCUCUUCUAUUUUGAUCCUCAUAACUUUUCUGUCGAUCUUGGGUAGCCUUCAGCUUUGCUUUUACAAUGUUUACCUUAUCUACUGCAUUCUGGACAAGUUCUGGCCCUUCUAAAAUGAUAGUACCUUCUUUAUCCCAGUACAAGGGACUUCUGCACUUCCGUCCAUACAAGGCUUCAUAAGGUGCCAUUCCAAUACUGCUAUGGAAAUGAUUGUUGUAGGCGAAUUCCAUCAAAGCAAUAUAUUCAUCCCAUGAACCUUUAAACUCAAUCACACACGCUCUUAACAUUUCCUCUAACGUUUGAAUGGUUCUUUCAGAUUGCCCAUCAGUCUGAGGAUGAAAGGCUGUACUAAAAUUCAAUCUUGUACCCAUUGCUUCUUGUAAACUUUUCCAAAAUCUAGAAGUAAAUCUUGGAUCUCUAUCUGAAACAAUGGAUAUUGGUACUCCAUGUAAUCGUACAAUCUCAUUCACAUACCUUUGAGCUAAAUGAUCUAGUGUGCAACCCCAACGUAUUGGUAGAAAAUGAGCUGAUUUGGUAAGUCGAUCAACAAUGAUCCAUAUUGCAUCAUUUCCCUUCCUUGUCUUGGGUAAAUUUGUUACAAAAUCCAUAGUGAUCUUUUCCCACUUCCACUCAGGAAUCGACAACGGAUGUAACUUCCCAGCUGGAGCUUGAUGUUCCACUUUCACUUGUUGACACGUUAAACAUUUGGCUGUAAACUCUGCCACAUCUCUUUUCAUUCCAGACCACCAAUAAUGAGAUUUCAUCGUAUUAUACAUUUUUGUUGCUCCGGGAUGCAUGGCAUAUGGAGCAUUAUGAGCUUCAUCUAGAAUUUCUCGUCUUAAGUCUUCAUCAUUUGGAACACAAAUUCUGUUUCCUAACAUUAAAGUAUCCUCAUAUAACGUGAACUGCGUUUCUUGACNNNNNNNNNNNNNNNNNNNNNNNNNNNNNNNNNNNNNNNNNNNNNNNNNNNNNNNNNNNNNNNNNNNNNNNNNNNNNNNNNNNNNNNNNNNNNNNNNNNNNNNNNNNNNNNNNNNNNNNNNNNNNNNNNNNNNNNNNNNNNNNNNNNNNNNNNNNNNNNNNNNNNNNNNNNNNNNNNNNNNNNNNNUCAUCGAUGAAUACUCCGACUUAAAGCGUCUGCCACUAUAUUGGCCUUUCCUGGGUGAUAUUCUAACGUACAAUCAUAAUCCUUUAAAAGUUCCACCCAUCUUCUCUGUCUCAUAUUCAACUCUUUCUGACUCAUUAAAUACUUUAGACUCUUAUGGUCUGUAAAAAUCUGAAAUGUCUCCCCGUAUAAGUAAUGCCUCCAAAUUUUCAAUGCAAAAACAAUUGCUGCCAAUUCUAGAUCAUGUACAGGAUAUGACUUUUCAUGCGGUCUGAGCUGUCUUGAAGCAUAAGCUAUAACUUUUCCAUAUUGCAUAAGGACACAUCCUAAGCCUUGUUGUGACGCAUCACUAUAUACUACAAAACCACCUUGUCCUGAGGGUGUAGUCAACACUGGAGCGGAUGUCAAUCUUCGCUUUAAUUCAUCAAAACUUUGUUGAGCUUCUUCAGUCCAUUGAAAAGGAACAUUCUUUCUGAGUAAUUUGGUCAUUGGUCCGGCAAUCUUAGAAAAUCCUUCAACAAAACGUCUGUAAUAACCAGCCAUUCCUAGGAAACUCCUCACUUCUGUAACAUUCUUGGGUACUUCCCAAUUCCAUAUAGCCUCUAUUUUCUUUGGGUCCACUUCAAUUCCUUUACUAGAAAUAACAUGUCCUAGGAAUACGACAUGGUCCAACCAAAACUCACAUUUACUCAACUUAGCAUAUAAUUGGUUUUCUCUUAAGAUUUGUAACGCUGUUCUUAAAUGCUCUUCGUGCUCCGAUUUACUCUUUGAAUAUACCAAUAUAUCAUCGAUGAAUACUAUAACAAAUUUAUCCAGAAAAGGUUGAAACACUUUGUUCAUAAGUGCCAUAAACACAGCUGGAGCAUUUGUUAACCCAAACGGCAUAACUAGAAAUUCAAAGUGACCAUAUCUAGUUCGGAAAGCAGUCUUUGGGAUAUCUUCCUUGGCAAUCUUCAAUUGAUGAUAUCCUGAUCUCAAAUCAAUCUUUGAAAACACUUGAGCCCCUUGUAAUUGAUCAAAUAAGUCAUCUAUUCUUGGUAAUGGAUAUUUGUUCUUAACCGUGACUUGAUUUAAUUUUCGAUAAUCGAUACAUAGCCUCAUAGUUCCAUCCUUCUUUUUGACAAAUAAUACUGGCGCUCCCCAUGGUGAAACACUUGGGCGGAUAAAACCUUUUUCCAAUAAUUCUAUCAACUGCUUCUUUAACUCUUUUAACUCUACGGGUGCCAUUCGGUAAGGAGGAAUAGAAAUAGGGGUACUACCAGGAACUGUCUCAAUACUAAACUCUAUGUCUCUAUCCGGCGGCAUUCCUGGCAAAUCAUCUGGAAACACAUCUGGGAAUUCUCGAACUAUUGGAAUAUUCUCAAGUUUAGUUGAGGUAAUGUUCGGGUCUACCACGUGCGCUAAAUACGCUUCACAGCCCUUUCUAAUCAUCUUAAAAGCACUCAUAGCCGAAAUUAAACAACUAAGUAUCAUCCUACAUUCUCCUUGAAAUACGACUAUCCCUUGUCCUGGUGACUCGAUCGUAACUUCUUUAGCGUAACAAUCAACUUUAGCAUGAUGUCUUGUCAACCAAUCCAUGCCUAGUAUGAUAUCAAACUCUUGAAAAGGCAAUACUAUCAAGUCUGCUUUUAAUUCCGUAUUUCCUAUUUCGAUAGGACAGUCUCUAUAUAUUUGAUCUACUACUUCCACUUCUCCUAGUGGUGUAUGAACAUUUACUUUGAGAUCUAGUAUUUCAUGACUUCUAUGCAAGUGAGAUGUCAUUUUAGAUGAUAUGAAUGAAUGUGUUGAACCAGGGUCGAUAAGAGCAUACGCAUCUAAUUGAUAUAAGAGAACUUUACCCGUUAUAACCUCAGGUGCAACUUCUGCCUCUCCUCUCGUUAAUGCAAAAACUCGUGCCUGGGUUGGUGGAUUUGAACUUUGAGCCUGUGAUCUUCCAAUGCCUCCCCCAGUGCUACCUGUACCCUUCUUGCCUCUACCUCUUCCAAAAGAUGUACCAACUCCUUUCACUUCUACAUUCUGAACACUUGGUUCAGAUACAGCCUGUACAUUUUCCCUUUUGUUGGGACAGUCUCUAAUGAAAUGGCCUUGUUCCCCACACAAAUAACAUCCUCCCGUUUGAGCUCUACAUUGCCCAAAAUGUUGCCUUCCGCAAGUUUGACAUGUAGGCUUCACCUGUACAUUUGAACCUCGGCUAAGAGUUGGAUUUGAUCGAGGGUUAUUCAAUCUCCCGCCUUGAGCACCAGAAAAACCUCCUCUUGUAAUAGAUUUAGUGGGUGCACUAACAUUUGGACGCUUCUUAGGCCUUCCACCAGCCUCUCCAGCAAAUCUUGUUUCUUCUCUCUUUGACUUUGAGAAGAAAGCAGGCUUCUCUUUAAUCAAGCGUUCAGCUCGAAUCGCUGCAGCCCUCAAAUCUGUAUAACUCCUAAGUUCUCCAAUAGUAAUUUUACUCCUGAUCUCAUACUUGAGACCUUCCUCAAAACGUCUACAUUUGUCCCUCUCAGUUGCCACCAUUGAUGAGGCAUAUCGGGACAAUUGGGUGAACUUGACUUCGUACUCAGCUACCGUCAUAUUUCCUUGCUUCAAAUUCAAGAACUCUCUUUGUUUCUCAUCCCUAUAGAUCUCUGGCAUAUACUUAUCUUUAAACUCUCGCUGAAAAUCAUCCCAAGUAAGUUUUGGUGGUUGAGCAUCUGAGUCAGGAACAGUCUCCCACCAAUCAUAAGCAUCAUCUUGGAGUAAGGAUACUGCAUAAUCAAACUUCUCUUCGUCUCCGCAAUGCAUCAUAUUAAACACUCUCUUUGUCCUUUUUAACCAUGACUCAGCUUCAGUUGGAUCUACAGUACCAUAGAAAUCAGUCGCCCCUAAUUUCCUAAGUUCUUUAUAAUUCCGUUUAACUGGUGCAUUCCUACGUACAACUUGGGGUUCUGACAUAGCUUGCUGCUCAGGUACUUGUCUUUCUACUUCUACAGUGGCCUCAUGCCUAGAUUCUUGUGGAAUAGGUAUAGACUCCUCGUGUCUAGACUCAUGUGGAGUAUGUGAUCCACUACCAGAUGGUUGGUGGUCAGCUGGACUCCUUUGUGCAGCCUGUUCAUUGGAUGCUCCUUCCAUCGCCUUCUGCACAUAUAAACAUAUCUUAGAUACUAUAUCACUCAAAAAUCCUAACCGUACUUCUAUGCCCUAGAGGUCAUAUCCCUGCUCUGAUACCAACUAAAUGUAACACCCUUGUACCAUAUAAUCAUUUUCAUGCACUUCUAGCAAAAUCAUGUAAUUUAAUAAUAUUAUGAAAUAUCUUUUCCUGUAUAAGUGGAUAAUAUAACCAUCAGCUAUUGCUUGGCUAUAUCUUGAUCUUCACCAGAACAUAAAAUCUCAACUACUUCAACAACAUUUACCAAGCAACAUAAAAUUUCAAUACAUUUCCAUCAUCCAUAUUCACCACACAUAUUCAGAAUUUAAACAUAAAUUUAUCUUCGUGAUUUCUUGCACACUUAGUAAGUCUAGAGUACAUAAACACAAUCUCUCAAACUACAUAUAUGUGCAUCGGCUGAUGGAGGAGUCUGGAGCAUCCUGCUGGACCACCGUCUCUUAGGCACUAUCUACAAUCUCCACUGAGCACUCAUACAAAACACUCUACUAACUAUUCAUAUCCUGGAAAAAUGAGCGAUUUCCAUGAGUCGCAACUCAAUGAAUAUACAUCAACUUUAGUUUGUAAAAGAUACUGAGAUUGUCUGAAAAUAACUUGUAGCGUCUUUGGUAAAAUCUUCCAGAAAAUAAAAGAAAGUAAGGUUCUCGAAACAAUUGUAAGAAAAUAUUCAUUUUAAUAUAUAUUUCCUGUUCGUAUUUAUGAGAGCAAUUAAUAUCUUUCAUUCAUAAUAUUAUCAUCAUCCCAAAUUACACCAAGAUAUAACAUCAUCACAUAUAUGUUUUACUUAAUCAUAAAUCACUGACAUAUGUUAAUCAUAUAUGCCAUGAAAGUAUGAACUUGUAUCUAUGCAUGCAUGCAUCUCUGUUUCUCUUUCUUUUGCUAUUGUGAACAGUUCACUGUAUAAUGCCCGUGUUUCCACAUGUCCUCAAAGGAUCCAUGUGUGUCUGGCCAGCUCCGUCUAUGUCCGACUAUGGAAAUCGGCUCCGUCUAUGUCCGACAAAAGUCGGCUACCAACUCCUUUCACUUCUACAUUCUGAACACUUGGUUCAGAUACAGCAUGUACAUUUUUUCCAUAUUCUCUAAUGAAAUGGCCUUGUUCCCCACACAAAUAACAUCCUCCCGUUUGAGCUCUACAUUGCCCAAAAUGUUGCCUUCCGCAAGUUUGACAUGUAGGCUUCACCUGUACAUUUGAACCUCGGCUAAGAGUUGGAUUUGAUCGAGGGUUAUUCAAUCUCCCACCUUGAGCACCAGAAAAACCUCCUCUUGUAAUAGAUUUAGUGGGUGCACUAACAUUUGGACGCUUCUUAGGCCUUCCACCAGCCUCUCCAGCAAAUCUUGUUUCUUCUCUCUUUGACUUUGAGAAGAAAGCAGGCUUCUCUUUAAUCAAGCGUUCAGCUCGAAUCGCUGCAGCCCUCAAAUCUGUAUAACUCCUAAGUUCUCCAAUAGUAAUUUUACUCCUGAUCUCAUACUUGAGACCUUCCUCAAAACGUCUACAUUUGUCCCUCUCAGUUGCCACCAUUGAUGAGGCAUAUCGGGACAAUUGGGUGAACUUGACUUCGUACUCAGCUACCGUCAUAUUUCCUUGCUUCAAAUUCAAGAACUCUCUUUGUUUCUCAUCCCUAUAGAUCUCUGGCAUAUACUUAUCUUUAAACUCUCGCUGAAAAUCAUCCCAAGUAAGUUUUGGUGGUUGAGCAUCUGAGUUAGGAACAGUCUCCCACCAGUCAUAAGCAUCAUCUUGGAGUAAGGAUACUGCAUAAUCAAACUUCUCUUCGUCUCCACAAUGCAUCAUAUUAAACACUCUCUUUGUCCUUUUUAACCAUGACUCAGCUUCAGUUGGAUCUAUGGUACCAUAGAAAUCAGUCGCCCCUAGCUUCCUAAGUUCUUUAUAAUUCCGUUUAACUGGUGCAUUCCUACGAACAACUUGGGGUUCUGACAUAGCUUGCUGCUCAGGUACUUGUCUUUCUACUUCUACAGUGGCCUCAUGCCUAGAUUCUUGUGGAAUAGGUAUAGACUCCUCGUGUCUAGACUCAUGUGGAGUAUGUGAUCCACUACCAGAUGGUUGGUGGUCAGCUGGACUCCUUUGUGCAGCCUGUUCAUUGGAUGCUCCUUCCAUCGCCUUCUGCACAUAUAAACAUAUCUUAGAUACUAUAUCACUCAAAAAUCCUAACCGUACUUCUAUGCCCUAGAGGUCAU
rnacentral:lncRNA from 1 species